UUGCCUACGGGAGGCAGCAGUGGGGAAUAUUGCGCAAUGGGCGAAAGCCUGACGCAGCGACGCGCGUGAGGGAUGAAGGUUUUCGGAUCGUAAAGCUCUAUCAGCAGGGAAGAGAAUGACGGUACCUGACUAAGAAGCCCCGGCUAACUACGUGCCAGCAGCCGCGGUAAUACGUAGGGGGCGAGCGUUAUCCGGAUUUACUGGGUGUAAAGGGAGCGUAGACGGUUCUGCAAGUCUGAAGUGAAAGCACGUGGCUUAACCGCGGAACGGCUUUGGAAACUGUGGAACUGGAGUGCUGGAGAGGC
rnacentral:rRNA from 1 species